rnacentral:tRNA from 1 species
CCUGUGGUCUAGUUGGUUAUGACACUGCCUUAACACGGCAGGGGUCCCGGGUUCAACUCCCGGCG